rnacentral:rRNA from 1 species
AUUGAACGCUGGCGGCAGGCCUAACACAUGCAAGUCGAACGAGUGGCGGACGGGUGAGUAAUGUCUGGGAAACUGCCUGAUGGCGGGGGAUAACUACUGGAAACGGUAGCUAAUACAGCAUACCAUCAGAUGUGCCCAGAUGGGAUUAGCUAGUUGGUGGGGGAACGGCUCACCAAGGCGACGAUCCAUAGCUGGUCUGAGAGGAUGACCAGCCACACUGGAACUGAGACACGGUCCAGACUCAUACGGGAGGCAGCAGUGGGGAAUAUUGCACAAUGGGCGAAAGCCUGAUGGAGCAAUGCCGCGUGUAUGAAGAAGGCCUUCGGGUUGUAAAGUACUUUCAGCAGGGAGGCGUUACCCACAGAAGAAGCACCGGCUAACUCCGUGCCAGCAGCCGCGGUAAUUC